rfam:Escovopsis weberi scaffold00012, whole genome shotgun sequence.
GGUUCUAUGGUCUAACGGUUAUGACUGCGGAUUUUGAUUCCGCCAGCGGGGGUUCGACUCCCCCUAGAACCU